rnacentral:lncRNA from 1 species
GCAGCUGCGUUAUUAGAGCUCCACGGCGGAUCUCGGGGCUCUUCUGCUCGCUUUUUUUCCUCUUCAGAAAUUAAAGCAGAGGAGCAUCUGAAAGUGGAAAGGUCCCCCUUCUGGUAGGAUGGAUGUAAAAGGAGGCAACAAUUUGUUCUUGAGGGGGCAAAAAAAAAAAAAAAAAAAAAGAAAAAGAAAAAGAAAAAGAAAGGAGGGGGGAAAUUCAUUGCUUGGCUUUUGCAUUGUCGGACUUUAAAAAAGUGUGUCUGCUGUUGUUGCCCGGACUCGGGAAAUCUUUUUUAUGGCAACCGCAGACCUGCCAAGUCUCUCUUACUUGGAAUCUUUAUAAAGGCAAGUUAUUUGGACUUUUUUUUUAUUUUCUCGUUUAGAGAAAGUCAUUGAUGCUGACGAAUGUCAUAAUGUGAUUCAAAAGAGACAGCUUUGAGUUCACUUUUUUAACAUUCUCAAAUUGACAUAGAUCUUUGUCCAGAAAAUAAAGCUUUCUGUUGAUUUUUUCUUUAAGCAAGAGCUAUGGCAGAGGCACAAGAAGACAAGCCCAACGAUGAAGCCUAUUUUAAGCCCCUGCUUAUGUCAUAAAUGCUAACAUCUCAUUUGCUGAAGCAAGUCACAUGGAUUGGUUCUAAAGCAAAAGAGAGCAACGAUUUUAAAAGACAGUGAGGCAAUUUCGCAGUCCCUGGAGAAUAAAGAUAAGCUGAAGCAUCAGUGAGAAAGAAAACUAAAAUGCACUUUGUGAAUCCUG